rnacentral:tRNA from 1 species
GAGGCUGUAGCUCAAUGGUAGAGCACUUGCCGAGCAACCGAGCCCUGGGUUCAAUCCCCAGCACCCAUG